rnacentral:rRNA from 1 species
AGUGAACGCUGGCGGUAGGCCUAACACAUGCAAGUCGAACGGCAGCACAGUAAGAGCUUGCUCUUACGGGUGGCGAGUGGCGGACGGGUGAGGAAUACAUCGGAAUCUACUUUUUCGUGGGGGAUAACGUAGGGAAACUUACGCUAAUACCGCAUACGACCUACGGGUGAAAGCAGGGGAUCUUCGGACCUUGCGCGAUUGAAUGAGCCGAUGUCGGAUUAGCUAGUUGGCGGGGUAAAGGCCCACCAAGGCGACGAUCCGUAGCUGGUCUGAGAGGAUGAUCAGCCACACUGGAACUGAGACACGAUCCAGACUCCUACGGGAGGCAGCAGUGGGGAAUAUUGGACAAUGGGCGCAAGCCUGAUCCAGCCAUACCGCGUGGGUGAAGAAGGCCUUCGGGUUGUAAAGCCCUUUUGUUGGGAAAGAAAAGCAGCAGGUUAAUACCCCGCUGUUCUGACGGUACCCAAAGAAUGAACACCGGCUAACUUCGU